rnacentral:rRNA from 1 species
UACGAAGGGUGCAAGCGUUACUCGGAAUUACUGGGCGUAAAGCGUGCGCAGGCGGUUUUUUAAGCCAGGUGUGAAAUCCCCGGGCUCAACCUGGGAAUGGCAUUUGGGACUGCAAGGCUGGAGUGCGGCAGAGGAGACUGGAAUUCCUGGUGUAGCAGUGAAAUGCGUAGAUAUCAGGAGGAACACCGAUGGCGAAGGCAGGUCUCUGGGCUGACACUGACGCUCAUGCACGAAAGCGUGGGGAGCAAACAGG